CCUACGGGUGGCUGCAGUAGGGAAUAUUGCUCAAUGGGGGAAACCCUGAUGCAGCGACGCCGCGUGGGUGAAGAAGGAAUUCGUAAUGUAAAGCUCUAUCGGCAGAGAAGAUAAUGACGGUAUCUAACGAAUAAGCACCGGCUAACUACGUGCCAGCAGCCGCGGUAAUACGGAGGGUGCAAGCGUUACUCGGAAUUACUGGGCGUAAAGAGCGCGUAGGCGGGAUUGCAAGUCAGAUGUGAAAUGCGGGGGCUUAACCAUCGGACUGCAUUUGAAACUGUUAGUCUAGAGUAUAGGAGAGGUAGGUGGAAUUCUUGGUGUAGGGGUAAAAUGCGUAGAGAUCAAGAGGAAUACUAGUGGCGAAGGCGACUUGCUAGAACGUAACUGACGUUGAGGCGCGAAAGCGUGGGGAGCAAACAGGAUUAGAUACCCCUGUAGUC
rnacentral:rRNA from 1 species